UACAGAGGGUGCGAGCGUUGUUCGGAAUUAUUGGGCGUAAAGGGCGCGUAGGCGGUGCGGUAAGACUGUGGUGAAAUCUCCGGGCUCAACUCGGAAAUUGCCGCGGUGACUGCCGUGCUGGAGUGUGGGAGAGGUGAGUGGAAUUCCCGGUGUAGCGGUGAAAUGCGUAGAUAUCUGGAGGAACAUCAGUGGCGAAGGCGGCUUUCUGGCCCAACACUGACGCUGAGGUGCGAAAGCGUGGGGAGCAAACAGG
rnacentral:rRNA from 1 species